rnacentral:rRNA from 1 species
UGGGGAAUAUUGCACAAUGGAGGAAACUCUGAUGCAGCAACGCCGCGUGGAGGAUGACGCAUUUCGGUGUGUAAACUCCUUUUAUAAGGGAAGAUAAUGACGGUACCUUAUGAAUAAGCACCGGCUAACUCCGUGCCAGCAGCCGCGGUACUACGGAGGGUGCAAGCGUUACUCGGCAUCACUGGGCGUAAAGGAUGCGUAGGCUGGAAAGCAAGUCGAAAGUGAAAUCCAACGGCUCAACCGUUGAACUGCUUUCGAAACUGGUUACCUAGAAUAUGGGAGAGGUAGAUGGAAUUAGUGGUGUAGGGGUAAAAUCCGUAGAUAUCACUAGGAAUACCGAUUGCGAAGGCGAUCUACUGGAACAUUAUUGACGCUGAGGCAUGAAAGCGUGGGGAGCAAACA